rnacentral:rRNA from 1 species
GACGAACCGUCCGAACGUUAUUCGGAAUCACUGGGCUUAAAGGGUGCGUAGGCGGCGCGGACAGUUGGGUGUGAAAUCCCUCGGCUUAACCGAGGAACUGCGCCCAAAACUACCGUGCUCGAGGGAGAUAGAGGUGAGCGGAACUUAGGGUGGAGCGGUGAAAUGCGUUGAUAUCCUAAGGAACACCGGUGGCGAAAGCGGCUCACUGGAUCUCUUCUGACGCUGAGGCACGAAAGCUAGGGUAGCGAACGGG